GCUCGGAUGGUGGAAUGGUAGACACGAAGGACUUAAAAUCCUUUGGCUAAUGCAGCUGUGCGGGUUCAAGUCCCGCUCCGAGUA
rnacentral:tRNA from 1 species